CCCUUAGAUGUCCGGGGCCGCACGCGCGCUACACUGAAGGAAUCAGCGUGGCUUUCUCCCUGACCCGAAAGGGUUGGGAAACCCGUUGAAUCUCCUUCGUGAUAGGGAUUGGGGCUUGAAAUUGUUCCCCAUGAACGAGGAAUUCCCAGUAAGCGCGAGUCAUAAGCUCGCGUUGAUUACGUCCCUGCCCUUUGUACACACCGCCCGUCGCUACUACCGAUUGAAUGGUUCAGUGAGAUAAUCGGACAGAAAACUUGGCAACUGGCAACAGUUGACGUGCAUUUUUGGAAGACGAUCAAACUUGGUCAUUUAGAGGAAGUAAAAGUCGUAACA
rnacentral:rRNA from 1 species